GGGCAUUUGGUCUAGUGGU
rnacentral:siRNA from 1 species